rnacentral:rRNA from 1 species
UACGUAGGGUGCAAGCGUUGUCCGGAAUUAUUGGGCGUAAAGAGCUCGUAGGCGGUCUGUCGCGUCUGCUGUGAAAUCUCAGGGCUUAACCCUGAGCUUGCAGUGGGUACGGGCAGACUAGAGUGCGGUAGGGGAGACUGGAAUUCCUGGUGUAGCGGUGAAAUGCGUAGAUAUCUGGAGGAACACCGGUGGCGAAGGCGGCAUCCUGGACCGGUAUUGACGCUGAGGCGCGAAAGCUAGGGGAGCAAACGGG